UACGUAGGGUGCUAGCGUUGUCCGGAAUCAUUGGGCGUAAAGAGCGUGUAGGCGGUCCGGUAAGUCCGCUGUGAAAGUCGGGGGCUCAACCCUCGAAUGCCGGUGGAUACUGUCGGGCUAGAGUGCGGAAGAGGCGAGUGGAAUUCCUGGUGUAGCGGUGAAAUGCGCAGAUAUCAGGAGGAACACCUAUUGCGAAGGCAGCUCGCUGGGACGUAACUGACGCUGAGACGCGAAAGCGUGGGGAGCAAACAGG
rnacentral:rRNA from 1 species